UACGGGGGGGGCAAGCGUUGUUCGGAAUUACUGGGCGUAAAGGGCUCGUGGGCGGCCAACUAAGUCAGACGUGAAAUCCCUCGGCUUAACCGGGGAACUGCGUCUGAUACUGGAUGGCUUGAGUUCGGGAGAGGGAUGCGGAAUUCCAGGUGUAGCGGUGAAAUGCGUAGAUAUCUGGAGGAACACCGGUGGCGAAGGCGGCAGCCUGGACCGACACUGACGCUGAGGAGCGAAAGCCAGGGGAGCAAACGGG
rnacentral:rRNA from 1 species